GUGGCCGGUGAUGAAGACUCCCACUCGUGUUCGAGUUUCCCAACCAUGAGAUGACUGCACAUGCACUACCAUCUGAGGCUGC
ensembl:snoRNA SNORD33 Small nucleolar RNA Z195/SNORD33/SNORD32 family